GGGCGUAUGGUGUAGUUGGUUAUCACGCUCGCUUAGCAUCUUACAUAAGCUUGCGAGAGGUGUCCGGUUCAAUUCCGGAUUCGUCCA